CAGGAUGAACGCUAGCGGCAGGCUUAACACAUGCAAGUCGAGGGGUAAGUCCCGCUUCGGCGGGAACACGACCGGCGCACGGGUGAGUAUCGCGUAUGCAACCUGCCCUUAACUGGAGAAUAGCUCCCGGAAACGGGAAUUAAUACUCCAUAAUAUCCCGGAAAUGCAUGUUUCCGGGAUCAAAGCUCCGGCGGUUAAGGAUGGGCAUGCGUGGCAUUAGCUUGUUGGUGAGGUAACGGCUCACCAAGGCUCUGAUGCCUAGGGGGUCUGAGAGGAUGAUCCCCCACACUGGUACUGAGACACGGACCAGACUCCUACGGGAGGCAGCAGUGAGGAAUAUUGGGCAAUGGACGAAAGUCUGACCCAGCCAUGCCGCGUGCAGGAUGACAGCCCUACGGGUUGUAAACUGCUUUUGUACAAGAAGAACCCCCCCGAUGUAUCGGGGGCUGACGGUAUUGUACGAAUAAGCAUCGGCUAACUCCGUGCCAGCAGCCGCGGUAAUACGGAGGAUGCAGGCGUUAUCCGGAUUUAUUGGGUUUAAAGGAUGUGUAGGCGGGGCAGUAAGUCAGUGGUGAAAUCCUGCGGCUUAACCGUAGAAUUGCCGUUGAUACUGCUGUUCUUGAGUAAUAGUUGAGGUGGGCGGAAUGUGUAAUGUAGCGGUGAAAUGCCAUAGAUAUUACACAGAACACCGAUUGCGAAGGCAGCUCACUAAGCUAUCACUGACGCUGAGGCACCGAAAGCCGUGGGGAACGAACAGGAUUAGAUACCCUGGUAGUCCACGCUGUAAACGAUGAUUACUUCGAUGUGUGCGAUAUACUGUACGCGUCCGAGCGAAAGCAUUAAGUAAUCCACCUG
rnacentral:rRNA from 1 species